rfam:Oryza meridionalis cultivar OR44 (W2112) chromosome 1, whole genome shotgun sequence.
AAAAAUUCAAUUCUUGGAUUUCUGUGUCUAACGUUAGACCGUCCGUCUUAUUUAAAAAAAAUGAAAAAAUUUAAAAGAUAAGUCAUGUAUAAAGUAUUAUUUAUGUUUUAUCAUCUAACAAUAAUGAAAAUACUAAUCAUAAAAAAUUUUCAUAUAAGACGGACGGUCAAACGUUGGACGAAAAACCUAAGAAUUGAGUUUUAU